AUUGAACGCUGGCGGCAGGCCUAACACAUGCAAGUCGAGCGGAUGAAGGGAGCUUGCUCCUGGAUUCAGCGGCGGACGGGUGAGUAAUGCCUAGGAAUCUGCCUGGUGGUGGGGGAUAACGUCCGGAAACGGGCGCUAAUACCGCAUACGUCCUGAGGGAGAAAGUGGGGGAUCUUCGGACCUCACGCUAUCAGAUGAGCCUAGGUCGGAUUAGCUAGUUGGUGGGGUAAAGGCCUACCAAGGCGACGAUCCGUAACUGGUCUGAGAGGAUGAUCAGUCACACUGGAACUGAGACACGGUCCAGACUCCUACGGGAGGCAGCAGUGGGGAAUAUUGCACAAUGGGCGAAAGCCUGAUCCAGCCAUGCCGCGUGUGUGAAGAAGGUCUUCGGAUUGUAAAGCACUGUUAGUUGGGAGGAAGGGCAGUAAGUUAAUACCUUGCUGUUUUGACGUUACCAACAGAAUAAGCACCGGCUAACUUCGUG
rnacentral:rRNA from 1 species